rnacentral:tRNA from 1 species
CAAAAAAUAGUUUAAUUUAAAAUGAUAAUUUUGGGAAUUAUCGAUAUUUAUAUUUUUAUAUAUUUAUAAAUUUUUUUGA